UGUGAACUCGAAGAGUAGGGCGGGACACGUGGUAUCCUGUCUGAAUAUGGGGGGACCAUCCUCCAAGGCUAAAUACUCCUGACUGACCGAUAGUGAACCAGUACCGUGAGGGAAAGGCGAAAAGAACCCCGGCGAGGGGAGUGAAAAAGAACCUGAAACCGUGUACGUACAAGCAGUGGGAGCACCUUCGGGUGUGACUGCGUACCUUUUGUAUAAUGGGUCAGCGACUUAUAUUCUGUAGCAAGGUUAACCGUAUAGGGGAGCCGCAGGGAAACCGAGUCUUAACUGGGCGUUAAGUUGCAGGGUAUAGACCCGAAACCCGGUGAUCUAGCCAUGGGCAGGUUGAAGGUUGGGUAACACUAACUGGAGGACCGAACCGACUAAUGUUGAAAAAUUAGCGGAUGACUUGUGGCUGGGGGUGAAAGGCCAAUCAAACCGGGAGAUAGCUGGUUCUCCCCGAAAGCUAUUUAGGUAGCGCCUCGUGAACUCAUCUUCGGGGGUAGAGCACUGUUUCGGCUAGGGGGUCAUCCCGACUUACCAACCCGAUGCAAACUACGAAUACCGAAGAAUGUUAUCACGGGAGACACACGGCGGGUGCUAACGUCCGUCGUGAAGAGGGAAACAACCCAGACCGCCAGCUAAGGUCCCAAAGUCAUGGUUAAGUGGGAAACGAUGUGGGAAGGCACAGACAGCCAGGAUGUUGGCUUAGAAGCAGCCAUCAUUUAAAGAAAGCGUAAUAGCUCACUGGUCGAGUCGGCCUGCGCGGAAGAUGUAACGGGGCUAAACCAUGCACCGAAGCUGCGGCAGCGACACUAUGUGUUGUUGGGUAGGGGAGCGUUCUGUAAGCCUGCGAAGGUGUGCUGUGAGGCAUGCUGGAGGUAUCAGAAGUGCGAAUGCUGACAUAAGUAACGAUAAAGCGGGUGAAAAGCCCGCUCGCCGGAAGACCAAGGGUUCCUGUCCAACGUUAAUCGGGGCAGGGUGAGUCGACCCCUAAGGCGAGGCCGAAAGGCGUAGUCGAUGGGAAACAGGUUAAUAUUCCUGUACUUGGUGUUACUGCGAAGGGGGGACGGAGAAGGCUAUGUUAGCCGGGCGACGGUUGUCCCGGUUUAAGCAUGUAGGCUGAUUGUCCAGGCAAAUCCGGAUAAUCAAGGCUGAGGUGUGAUGACGAGGCACUACGGUGCUGAAGUAACAAAUGCCCUGCUUCCAGGAAAAGCCUCUAAGCAUCAGGUAACAUUAAAUCGUACCCCAAACCGACACAGGUGGUCAGGUAGAGAAUACCAAGGCGCUUGAGAGAACUCGGGUGAAGGAACUAGGCAAAAUGGUGCCGUAACUUCGGGAGAAGGCACGCUGGUGUGUAGGUGAAGUCCCUGCGGAUGGAGCUGAGACCAGUCGAAGAUACCAGCUGGCUGCAACUGUUUAUUAAAAACACAGCACUGUGCAAACACGAAAGUGGACGUAUACGGUGUGACGCCUGCCCGGUGCCGGAAGGUUAAUUGAUGGGGUUAUCCGUAAGGAGAAGCUCUUGAUCGAAGCCCCGGUAAACGGCGGCCGUAACUAUAACGGUCCUAAGGUAGCGAAAUUCCUUGUCGGGUAAGUUCCGACCUGCACGAAUGGCGUAAUGAUGGCCAGGCUGUCUCCACCCGAGACUCAGUGAAAUUGAACUCGCUGUGAAGAUGCAGUGUACCCGCGGCAAGACGGAAAGACCCCGUGAACCUUUACUAUAGCUUGACACUGAACAUUGAGCCUUGAUGUGUAGGAUAGGUGGGAGGCUUUGAAGCGUGGACGCCAGUCUGCGUGGAGCCAACCUUGAAAUACCACCCUUUAAUGUUUGAUGUUCUAACGUUGGCCCCUGACCGGGGUUGCGGACAGUGUCUGGUGGGUAGUUUGACUGGGGCGGUCUCCUCCCAAAGCGUAACGGAGGAGCACGAAGGUUAGCUAAUCCUGGUCGGACAUCAGGAGGUUAGUGCAAUGGCAUAAGCUAGCUUGACUGCGAGCGUGACGGCGCGAGCAGGUGCGAAAGCAGGUCAUAGUGAUCCGGUGGUUCUGAAUGGAAGGGCCAUCGCUCAACGGAUAAAAGGUACUCCGGGGAUAACAGGCUGAUACCGCCCAAGAGUUCAUAUCGACGGCGGUGUUUGGCACCUCGAUGUCGGCUCAUCACAUCCUGGGGCUGAAGUAGGUCCCAAGGGUAUGGCUGUUCGCCAUUUAAAGUGGUACGCGAGCUGGGUUUAGAACGUCGUGAGACAGUUCGGUCCCUAUCUGCCGUGGGCGCUGGAGAAUUGAGGGGGGCUGCUCCUAGUACGAGAGGACCGGAGUGGACGCAUCACUGGUGUUCGGGUUGUCAUGCCAAUGGCACUGCCCGGUAGCUAAAUGCGGAAGAGAUAAGUGCUGAAAGCAUCUAAGCACGAAACUUGCCCCGAGAUGAGUUCUCCCUGAGACUUUAAGUCUCCUGAAGGAACGUUGAAGACGACGACGUUGAUAGGCCGGGUGUGUAAGCGCAGCGAUGCGUUGAGCUAACCGGUACUAAUGAACCGUGAGGCUUAACCUU
rnacentral:rRNA from 1 species